rnacentral:rRNA from 1 species
GACGAACGCUGGCGGCGUGCCUAAUACAUGCAAGUAGAACGCUGAAGGAGGAGCUUGCUCUUCUGGAUGAGUUGCGAACGGGUGAGUAACGCGUAGGUAACCUGCCUGGUAGCGGGGGAUAACUAUUGGAAACGAUAGCUAAUACCGCAUAAGAGUAGAUGUUGCAUGACAUUUGCUUAAAAGGUGCAAUUGCAUCACUACCAGAUGGACCUGCGUUGUAUUAGCUAGUUGGUGGGGUAACGGCUCACCAAGGCGACGAUACAUAGCCGACCUGAGAGGGGGAUCGGCCAAACUGGGAAUGGGACACGGCCCGGACUCCUGCGGGAGGGAGCAGUAGGGAAUCUUCGGCAAUGGACGGAAGUCUGAACGAGGAACGCCGGGUGAGUGAAGAAGGGUUUCGGAUCGUAAAGCUCUGUUGUAAGAGAAGAACGAGUGUGAGAGUGGAAAGUUCACACUGUGACGGUAUCUUACCAGAAAGGGACGGCUAACUACGUG